AGCAGCCGCGGUAAUUCCACGCUCCAAUAGCGUAUAUUAAAGUUGCUGCAGUUAAAAAGCUCGUAGUUGAAUUUCGGGACCAUCAUGUUGGUCGUGCCUCGGUACGUACUGGCAUUGUUGGUUUCUCCCUUCCGACGAACCAUGAUGUCAUUUAUUUGGUGUCGUGGGAAAUCAGGACUGUUACUUUGAAAAAAUUAGAGUGUUUAAAGCAGGCUCACGCUUGAAUACAUUAGCAUGGAAUAAUGAAAUAGGACGUUUGAUUCUAUUUUGUUGGUUUCUAGGAUCGACGUAAUGAUUAAUAGGGAUAGUUGGGGGCAUUAGUAUUCAAUUGUCAGAGGUGAAAUUCUUGGAUUUAUUGAAGACUAACUACUGCGAAAGCAUUUGCCAAGGAUGUUUUCAUUAAUCAAGAACGAAAGUUAGGGGGAUCGAAGACGAUCAGAUACCGUCGUAGUCUUAACCAUAAACUAUGCCGACUAGGGAUCGGAUGAUGUUAAUUUU
rnacentral:misc_RNA from 1 species